CUUCAGUUCAGUUACACUGAAGACAAGAUGGGCAAAGAGGAAAGCAAGGAGGACGGACGUGUGAGGAGCGGACUGCGGUUCCCGAGUGGCUGAUACUGGAUGUCGGCAGUUCGGAUGGUGGCCAAAGCUUGGAAGGUCGCUGUGGAUGGAAUCAGAGCUUCCCGCCAGCUCCAAGGCACUUGGCAAGAGCUCGACGACAUAUUCUGCAGGUUGCCUAGACGAUUGCGAUGCCAAGAAGCUUGACGAC